AGUCAUCUGUGGUGUUCGUAAGUUUGCUUUUUAUUUGGGCCUAACACUCUUUGAUCAGGGAGCCCAAUAGGUUUUCUCGCAGCGCACACGCCUCUAUAGGAGGACUUGCAAAACGAGAAACAGGGCACCCACCUGUAUAUAGC
rnacentral:sRNA from 1 species